AUACGGAAGGUCCAGGCGUUAUCCGGAUUUAUUGGGUUUAAAGGGAGCGUAGGCGGAGAGAUAGGUCAGCGGUAAAAUCGUGCGGCUCAACCGUACCUCGCCGUUGAUACUGUUUUUCUUGAGUGCACACAGGGAUGCUGGAAUUCGUCGUGUAGCGGUGAAAUGCUUAGAUAUGACGAAGAACUCCGAUCGCGAAGGCAGGUGUCCGGGGUGCAACUGACGCUGAGGCUCGAAAGUGCGGGUAUC
rnacentral:rRNA from 1 species